GAUGAACGCUGGCGGCGUGCCUAACACAUGCAAGUCGAACGGACUCGAUUCUUAGGAUGAGAGUUAGUGGCGCACGGGUGAGUAACACGUAGGUGACCUACCCCAGAGCGGGGGGACAACUUCUCGAAAGAGAAGCUAAUACCCCGUAUGUUCAAUCAUUCGUUUGAUUGAGUAAAGCUCCGGCGCUCUGGGAGGGGCCUGCGUCCGAUUAGCUAGUUGGUGGGGUAAUGGCCUACCAAGGCGAUGAUCGGUAGCUGGUCUGAGAGGACGAUCAGCCACACUGGCACUGACACACGGGCCAGACUCCUACGGGAGGCAGCAGUGAGGAAUAUUGCGCAAUGGGCGAAAGCCUGACGCAGCAACGCCGCGUGGAGGAUGAAGGCCUUCGGGUCGUAAACUCCUUUUCUGGGAGAAGAGACAAGGACGGUAUCCCAGGAAUAAGUCUCGGCUAACUACGUG
rnacentral:rRNA from 1 species